UUCUCUCAUCUUUUUCAUUCUUUUGCUCCAAUUGUUACCCUCCAUUCAUAUUUCUCUGAACCCACCACAACUCCUCAAUCUAGUCAACACAUUGCACACCAAUAGCCUUUCAUCUUACACUGCCCAACCCACAAGCCUUCUGCCAUUGCUAGUCUAGUAUCUCCUUCAACCUAUCUCAUAUUAGUCUUGCUUCUCACUGCUCCACACAACAUCUGGUUCUAGGGUUUAAGGUCUCUCGAUCUCAAUUUCUCUGUGCCACCGGAACCUUCAAGAGCUCAAAGCCAUGGCGAGUACCAAAGUCCAGAGGAUUAUGACCCAACCCAUUAACCUGAUUUUCAGGUUUCUUCAAAGUAAAGCUCGCAUUCAGAUAUGGCUUUUUGAGCAGAAGGAUAUGAGGAUUGAAGGCCGAAUCAUUGGCUUUGAUGAGUACAUGAAUUUGGUUCUUGAUGAUGCUGAGGAAGUCAAUAUCAAGAAAAAAACCAGAAAGUCUUUAGGAAGGAUUCUUCUCAAAGGAGACAACAUUACCCUGAUGAUGAACACAGGGAAGUGAUGCUCAUCAGCAACUGUUGAGGCUGUAUUAUGUUUCUAUUUCGGAGGCCUGGAAGUUUGAGCUGUGUAGUGUGUCCUGAUAUAUUGAACACUAAAACAUGCUUUUUUUGGACUGACGAUUUUAGGUGAUAAAUGUAGGUAGGAUAUGAUUCAUGAAGUCCGAAUGUUCAAGCUAUGAGUUUUCUUUAUAUUCAACUUGGCAAUUAAUAUUUUGAUGCUAUUCGGGAUCGUCUUUUAUGUGAUGUACAAUGUUGUAAGCUCUUUGUAUGCGUUUGCUACGCUGAUAUUUCCUUCUUGAAGCCUGAAGAAAUAUGCUGCUCUGAGUAGGUGCUGUAAUUUUAUGUUUCAUGCCUAUAUAUGUAGCAGACUUGUCUUUCAUAUGAGCAUAAUUUUUUUUAAUAAAUAAUUAGCUACAUAACACUGGUGAAUGG
rnacentral:misc_RNA from 1 species